AACGAACGCUGGCGGCAUGCUUAACACAUGCAAGUCGAACGCCCCGCCUGGGUGGUGGCCGACGGGUGAGUAGCGCGUGGGAAUCUACCCAUCCCUACGUAAUAACGCAUGGAAACGUGUGCUAAUACCGUAUACGCCCUACGGGGGUAAGAUUUAUCGGGGAUGGAUGAGCCCGCGUUGGAUUAGCUAGUUGGUGGGGUAAAGGCAUACCAAGGCGACGAUCCAUAGCUGGUCUGAGAGGAUGAUCAGCCACAUUGGGACUGAGACACGGCCCAAAAUCCUACGGGAGGCAGCAGAAGGGAAUAUUGGACACUGGGCGCAAGUCUGAUCCAGCCAUGCCGCGUGAGUGAUGAAGGCCUUAGGGUUGUAAAGCUCUUUCACCGGAGAAGAUAAUGACGGUACCCGGAGAAGAAGCCCCGGCUAACUUCGUG
rnacentral:rRNA from 1 species